CAAUGAGAGCGCAGAAUGUGGCGCAGCGGAAAAAUUGAUUUCCGGGUUUUGCACGAGGUUUGCUCGUGGAAUCAGAGGCAGCUCUCUCUAUCGUGCACGGAUGCCUGAGGAGCGCGGGGUUCGCUGACGCUCCGGGGAACAGAAACAAAGAAAAUAAUCUUCUAGAUGAGUUUUAUCGAUGGAUUGAUGGUAAAGAAAAGGAUUUAAAGGGGACGUGCUGUACCUGCACCAUUCUGGAAUUUUCUGAGUUUAACGAUCUCCUUGGUCAGGUUUUUUUUUCCUUGUUGUUCUGUCCUUUUCCAAAUUCGAUUGCUGUCUGUCUGAUGUGACGAGAUGUUCCGGUACCUGCAUUCUGGAUUUGUCCCGGCCUUCCGGUGGUUCUGAGGAGGGUUUGGACUGGCGAGCCUCCCUUGAGUCUGUUCUUGGAUUUUCUGUGGAAACAAAAGACAAGUUUUUCUGACCCUGUGAAUGGUAGGAAAUCGAAUAACUUUUCUUUCUUUUUUUUCCCUCUUUCGGAUGGAGACGUUUUUUCCUCAUUGACAGAGAAAAGACAUUUAUAUCUCUCUACGGACUAUUUGAAGAACUGUUUUUCUUGAAAGACUGAGCAAUUGAGGGUUUUGAAAUCGAAGGACAUUAUUUUAUUUCAUUGAGAAGUGUUAAUUUUCUGUUGUGGUGACAGCUGUGAUACAUACAUUGGGUUUUUGAUAUUUGAAUACUGAUUGAUCUAAAAAGAAAAAAAUUGACAAAGGUAACAUAAGUGUUCAUAUUCAACCUUUAUUUGGGUGAAUCAACUACUGAGUUAAAGUGAACGAACAAAGAACUUACCUUGUUGAAAAUUGAGGGAAAAGGUUCAUGAAACCUGCUAAAACAAAAGAGUGACAAAAUUUAGAAACAAGAAUUUAAUUUGUGAAAAUAUAUAUAUUUUUUCCUUUCUGUUUUCAUUGAUUCACAUUGAUUCAACUUACCCGUUGAGUGCUGUUAAACCACAAAUACACGUUGUGUGUUCGACCAAACCAUUCGUUGAGUGUUCAGUGUUGUUGUUGCAUCUUUC